rnacentral:rRNA from 1 species
ACGGAAGGCAGCAGUGGGGAAUAUUGGGCAAUGGGCGCAAGCCUGACCCAGCCACGCCGCGUGAAGGAAGAAGGCUUUCGGGUUGUAAACUUCUUUUAAGGGGGAAGUGUAGUAGACUGUACCCCUAGAAUAAGCCACGGCUAACUACGUGCCAUCAGCCGCGGUAAUACGUAGGUGGCAAGCGUUGUCCGGAUUUACUGGGUGUAAAGGGCGUGUAGCCGGGGAGGGAAGUCAGAUGUGAAAUCUAUGGGCUUAACCCAUAAGCUGCAUUUGAAACUGUUUCUCGUGAGUGCUGGAGGGGCAAUCGGAAUUCCUGGUGUAGCGGUGAAAUGCGUAGAUAUAAGGAAGAACACCAGUGGCGAAGGCGGAUUGCUGGACAGUAACUGACGGUGAGGCGCGAAAGUGUGGGGAGCAAACAGGAUUAGAUACCCUGGUA